rnacentral:rRNA from 1 species
GAGAACGGCUACCACUCCAAGGAAGGCAGCAGGCGCGCAACUUACCCUAUCUCGAUUCGAGGAGGUAGUGACAAGAAAUACCGAUGCGGGGACCCUACGGGGUGCCGCGUUCGGAAUGAGUACGAUUCGAACCACCUAACGAGGAACGAUCGGAGGGCAAGUCUGGUGCCAGCAGCCGCGGUAAUUCCCAGCUCCAAUAGCGUACGUUAAAGUUGCUGCAGUUAAAAAGCUCGUAGUUGAACGUUCGGGUUCCGCGGGACGGGGCCGCCCCGCGAGGGACGGCGCCGCCCCGGGGCUCGUGAUAUCUCAUCUCGCCGCCCGUCGCGAGGCGGACGGAGGGAUGGAUGAGGUUACCUGGAAAAAAGUCGGGGCGAUCUAGGCGGGCGAACCUCGCCAACGAACGAUCGGACAUGGGAUAACGGAAGAGGGCGUCGGCUCGACUUCGUCGGUUCCUCGGGCCGAGGCACGUACGGUGAAUAGGGA